UUAAACUAAGAAUAUAAGGGUAGAGCUUUAUAUUCAAUAAUUAAUUAAAAAUGAAUAAGUAAUUAAUUAUUUAUAAAUUAGGCUUUUUAGUGGCCAAAUUUUUAAAGUAUUAUAACUAAUAAAAUAAAAAUUUUUUGUUUUUAUUUCUUUUGAAUUUAGUAGAAUAUUUUUUAUAAUAAAAAUAGAUUAGUAAUAAUGAGAAUAUAAGUAGAUUUUAAAUAUUAUUUUUUUUUUUGAAAUAUUUAAUUUANAAAUAUAUUUUAGUAAAAUAAAUAGAAAAAUUAAAGGAAUUCGGCAAAUUUUUUUCUUGCCUGUUUAACAAAAACAU
rnacentral:rRNA from 1 species